rnacentral:lncRNA from 1 species
GUUUGUUAAUGAGUCAGUUUAUUAAUUAGAAUUUAUGUCCGUUGGAAAUGGAGCUGUUUUCCUGAGGGAUGGGAAGUCUGUUAGAUUUUUGAUAGAUUUUUUUCUUCUCUUCCUGUUUUAAUUGGAGGCUUAACAUACACACUUCACGGGAUAUGACUUGUGGCAGGCACCCGUGUGCCGCCCCGCCCCACCUCGCCCCGCCCCGCCCUGCGCUGCCCGGCAGAAAUCAGAGAUGGAGCCGGCUCCAGCUGACUACGGAGGACUAGUUUAGAUCUCCAGAUUCGGCACAGUGGGAAUACCUGAGAGGAGAGUUUCGGAGUUAUUUGAAGAGCAGGGACGCCCAUGGGUUCCAGCUAAUGCCAUCCUUACUUGUUUUGUGUUUCGUUUUAGUUAUUGGCGAUGCGGUUGGAUGAGACGUGGCUGUUUCAUAUGAAAGAAAAAGAAUUUGCUCUGAGGGAGCCGAGAGCAGCAGUACAAUCCGCAGGGUUGUUUAUUCUAAAUAGAGCUCUGCAUGGUUUUAUUUUUGACAGGUGACGAUCACCCUUCAGGUUCUUUUAAAGUUAUAUUUUUAUUUACAUUCCUGUGUGAGGGGAGGGAAGGGGAGAGGAUGGGAGGAGCAUCCUGUGUGCAUGCCUGCAGGUGCGCCAGUGCUCAGCAGAGGGCACUGAACGCUAUGGAACUAGGGUUAACAGAUGGUUGUGAGCUGCCAGAACAGGGUACUUAAAACAACAUUUUCAGGUAAAAGGGCAGCAAGCAUUAAACUGCUGAGCCAUCUCUCCAAACCGUCGGCCUUCUUGGUGUUCUUUGCUGGGGCAGGGAGGUAGCAGGGAGGAAGUGGAGAGAACUGGGAGAUUUGAGACGCUCCUUCUGAGCUUUAAGCUACGUGUAGAUAAUAUCUGCAUGUGUGGCACAAUUGAAGCAGCAGUGGCUUUCAGGCUAGUUACUGCAUGGACUAGUAAGGUAGCUCUCCUGCUCUCAGCACCGUGCAUCUGAUGCUCCGUUCUCAGGGACCACCUAACGUGGUUAACCGCCCUGGCUAACGGGGACACUGCUGACAAUACACGUGGCUGUUAGUUCCUGAUUUCUGCUUAAGGCUUUGCAGUUCUGCUUUUAGUCCUGUGACCAGAGACACUUCCUCCUAUGGCAGCUGAAUUCCACAUUUCCUGAAACAGGAUUUCCCUAUUUUGUAGAGAACUUCCAUGACUGAAUCUUCCUGCUUCUGGAAAUAAAAUGGGUAGUACCUUGCACACAAAGCUUGGAGGGUGCCUCUCUUUCUUCUCUUCUUCUGCUUUUUCUCAUUUACCUGAGAAGAAUUUUAAAUGGAUCAAAGGAAUGAAUGUCAGCCACCAAACUGAGAAGUCGACUUGCCUUUGAAUACCUGUAACUUUGUUAGAAUAAUAAAUUCUGUAGAAAACUAG